AACUUCUACUCCCAUUGCACUUGUACUUGCAAUUCCUGAUCCACCUGCACCAGUUAGGACUACAAAAGAGCAGGAUAUGAUUGACCUUUUGAGUAUCGCCUUGUCAACAACAUCAACCUCCCAUCAAUCUGACACCCCUCACACUCCACCAGCCUCUAAUCAGAGCAUGCCUCAAGCACCCGUCUCCAGCACACAGGGCAAUACUUACGUUUCCCAAACUUAUCCUGGAAACCAAGGGCAGGCAGCAUUCAACAGUUACGUUGUUCCAUGGGCCCAGCCUCAACCACAGCAGCAGUUACAAUUUCCAUCUCAACCCCAUUCACAGACCCGAAUCCAGCAACAACUGCAACCUCAGCCCCAACUUCAUCCACAGGCUAUGUCCCAGUCCCAACCUCUGGCUCAGCAGCACUUUUCAUCUCAAUCUCAACCACAACCAUGUUCUCAACCUCAGCCUCAGCCUCAGCCUCUGCAACAAUUCCAAAAUCAGUUUCAGGAACAACCAUAUUCUCAGCCUCAGCCUCAACAAGCAUUCCAAAUUGAAUCUCAACAGCUACAUACUCAGCAAAAGCCUCAAGCUCAAAUUCAGCCUGUGCCCCAGCAAAAAUUCCAACCACAGCAUCAACAGCAAUUUCAGCAACAACU
rnacentral:lncRNA from 1 species